rnacentral:rRNA from 1 species
UCGCCCAGACAAACUCCGAAUACCGUGGGUAUUAUCCUGGGAGUCAGACUACGAGGGAUAAGCUUCGUGGUCAAAAGGGAAACAGCCCAGAUUGGCAGCUAAGGCCCCCAAUUCAUGCUCAGUGUACAUAAGGAAGUGGUGUUGCCUAGACAGCUAGGAUGUUGGCUUAGAAGCAGCCAUCAUUUAAAAAGUGCGUAAUAGCUUACUAGUCGAGCAACUCUGCGCCGAAAAUUAACGGGACUAAGCAUGGAGCCGAAGCUCCAGACUGCACACGAAGAAGUGUGCAUUGGUAGGGGAGCGUUGGACAAGCGAGCGAAGGAGGACGGUAACGACCUCUGGACGUAGUCCAAGUGAUUAUGCCGGGAUGAGUAGCGAUAAAGAAGGUGAGAAUCCUUCUCGCCGUAAGCCUAAGGUUUCCUGGGCAAGGCCAUUCCGCCCAGGGUUAGUCGGUCCCUAAGACGAGGCUGAAAGGCGUAGUCGAUGGGAAGCAGGUCAACAUUCCUGCACCACCGUGAGCG